rnacentral:miRNA from 1 species
GUCCUUCCUUUUGGUAGCAAAU